UCAGAGUAGAGACAGGUUCUCAUUCCAGUUGGAAAGGAUUCCAGCUCUGGCCCAUUGCAGGGAGGGGCAAAAGGAAAGGGAAAAAUAGAAUUCAGGCCUCACCACCCCCUGGAAUUUUGCAGACUGUGGAGAAGCAGUCUUGCCAGAACCAUGCUGUAAGAUGAUCCCAGGAAAAAGAGACAGAAUGGACACACACGCAAAGAAGACUCUCCGCCCAGUGCAGACUCAAGGCCAUGUGACCUUCUCCACACAGUGAGCCCACAGGUCCCAAGACCUCCAUUCCAGAGAGGGCCCUGCCCGAGACUCAGAAGGAAGGAAUGCUCCGCAGAAAGGCCAAGAAGAAUCUAACCAGACAGGCCUUGCUGCAUUUCCCCGCUCAGUCUAUUACCAUUAUAUUACACAUUUUUUGUCCAAUCAUAUUUCUACAUGGCUGUCCAUACAUUGUUAAACCUAGCAUAAAAAUGGACAACUUUCCCUGCAUCUUUAGGUCUUCAUUAGAAGGCUGCUGUGUCACAUAAAACUAUGACCCAAUAAAUUUAUAUGCCUUUUCUUCUAUUAACCUGCCUUUAGUCAGUGAUUUUUCAGUGAUCCUUCAGAGGUCAAAGGGGGGGGGGGGUUUUCCUUGGCCCUUACAAGAGCCC
rnacentral:lncRNA from 10 species